rnacentral:lncRNA from 1 species
CUUGAUUCUAGGCUCAUUCCAAGUAGUAAAGGGCGUAAUUCGGUCCAAAUUGACAUAUGAAAAUAACUAUUUUUCAACCUUCAUCAGACGCUCAACGUUGGAAGAUUCUGAAAGCCACCGCUCAGCGCUGGAAAUGACACUGAGAAGUGGAUGUGACUCCUUCUUCUCAUCUUUUCUCAUCCCUUCUUGAGUCUAAGUCCUUCC